CUUGUUUUGUUCACCAAAAUUUUUUAAUCUACAAAGUUUUCAUUUGUAAUGGGAUAUCAUAUUAUAAGUAUAGAACCUUUAGUACAACUUACUGGACUUGAAGGACCUGUUAUUCGGCUUUUAACGGGAAUUUUUAUAGCUUAUCCUCUUGCUUUGAUAUACAGUUUAACACUGUAUAAAAAGAUCCCACUUUGCAGCAUGUUUCUUUUACAGUGUGUGGAUUAUUACUUGCAGUAUUUUUGUACGGUCUCGAAGGAUUCCACACGCUAGUUGCGAUCAUUGUGCAAUACAUGAUUAUACAAGUGAUUGGACCAAAUUAUGUGAUGGUGUUAAUUAGUUUUGUUUUUCAAAUGGCAUAUUUGGUUAUUGGUUAUAUAGUCUAUUCCACUGAAAGCUAUGAUAUUGACUGGACUGUUGCACAGUGCAUUUUGACUUUGCGCUUGAUUGGAGUUGCUUGGGACAGGUAUAUGAUGGUGCUCAAGACAUGG